CCUGCCCCCAAAGCCUUGCAGGUGUGGCUGCUGUGUCACAUGUGCGUCAGUAGGUGGCAGAGAGGAGAGAGGCCAUGUCUAUGCUCAGUGUUCUGACCCGUGAACAUCUGAAUGGCUAGUAGUAGCCUAACAGC
ensembl:snoRNA LOC120101284 small nucleolar RNA SNORA17